UACCUCACUCGGUAGAGCAUGAGACUCUUAAUCUCAGGAUCGUGGGUUCGCGCCCCAC
rnacentral:tRNA from 1 species